rnacentral:rRNA from 1 species
AACGAACGCUGGCGGCAUGCCUAACACAUGCAAGUCGAACGAGACCUUCGGGUCUAGUGGCGCACGGGUGCGUAACGCGUGGGAACCUGCCCUUAGGUUCGGAAUAACUCCCCGAAAGGGGUGCUAAUACCGGAUAAUGUCUUCGGACCAAAGAUUUAUCGCCUUUGGAUGGGCCCGCGUUGGAUUAGCUAGUUGGUAGGGUAAAAGCCUACCAAGGCGACGAUCCAUAGCUGGUCUGAGAGGAUGAUCAGCCACACUGGGACUGAGACACGGCCCAGACUCCUACGGGAGGCAGCAGUGGGGAAUAUUGGACAAUGGCGAAAGCCUGAUCCAGCAAUGCCGCGUGAGUGAUGAAGGCCUUAGGGUUGUAAAGCUCUUUUACCCGGGAUGAUAAUGACAGUACCGGGAGAAUAAGCGCCGGCUAACUCCGUG